GCUACAGGUGUUGCAGGAUGGGAUUUCAGACGAUCCUAGACAAUCAAUUUUUACGUUACCCUUUCUCUAUCUCAGUAAAAGGCCACACGUGAUAGCGUCAACUCCUCCAUGUAAUUAAUGACGAAAAAUAAGUUGAAGAUUAAUGCGCACAAUUUCAGACAAGUUGCGCAGUUUUUGGCAAUCACGUGGUUUCAAUAUGCGGUUUCCAAGGAUCCAAAGGAUUGCUUCACUCUGAAGGUUAACAAGUCCACACUGCUGCGCUAGCUGAUUGGAUUUCACACAACACAAAGAUUGGCGACAAGUCCCCAUUUGUAUCGUUUUAAUAUAAAAGAUAACCAACACAGAUUCUAAUUAGCGCCUGGCGGAUGCCAUCCUCUGAUAGAACUGCGCAUCGGACGACUUAUUAUCGCCUUUGUUAUGUUUUGAAAAACAGAAAUGGGCCGAACUUUGUUGUGUUAAGAAGGUUAUUGAGCCUAUAUGAGGAAAGAACUUUGACGCUGUAGACAAGUUGAAAAUAGGCCGAGUUUUAUAUAAGAUUCCCAGAAACCGAAUACGUCGAUAACUUUGUUUGUUUAUAUUUACACUAUUCCAAGAUUUUUAAAUAGAGACGCGGAGAGUUUUAUUGCGUUAUGUGAUCUGUUGUGAAAUUCAAACAGCGUCGCAUCAUCGCGAACUUCGUCACUAAAAUGCGUAUUUGAGGAACAUGAGGAAAUAAGAUCCUGUUGUAUUUUUUUAAGACAUACUGUUACCAUCACAAGAAACUUAAUAAUCACGCGUGCUGCCGACGCAUGCGGGUUUAUUUUGAUUCCAACUUUUUCUGAUCGAAGUCAUAAUAAGUUGUUGUUAAUAUUUUAACCCAGUUGCUAUACAUGGCAUUGAAAAACUUGCGACAUGGCCUCGGUUGAUCGGAAUAAUACCAGAAUUAAUCAUUCGACUCUUCCCGUCCAACAUUCGAAAAAGGAAAUACGCAAAGAUUAGAUAGGAUGGUUCGUCUUGCAGUACUCAUGGUAUUUUUGGCUUUGAUUGUUUGUUCAGCUCUGGCUCAACACAACAAUUAUCAUUACAAUCCGCCAGGCCAUCACCAUCACGGUCAUCAUCAUGGACAUCAUCAUCAUCAUCAUCAUGGACAUCACCAUCAUCAUCAUGGACAUCACCACGGCUAAAUCAGCGACCAAAACGGCCAAAGUACUCCAUACCAUUACAUCUGCGCUAAGGACAAUUGAUAGUAAAGACACAAUUUUGUAUAUCAAUGUGACACUAGACCAUAUGUUUCACUGUGACACCAGACCAUAUGGUAUUUUCAUUUGCGCUUUGACCAGUUGAUAGUAAAGUCACUCAGUUGUGUUACACUGUGACACGUAGAACAAAUAAAAAACUACAUUUGGAGAAA